rnacentral:rRNA from 1 species
CUUGGUCAUUUAGAGGAAGUAAAAGUCGUAACAAGGUUUCCGUAGGUGAACCUGCGGAAGGAUCAUUAACGAAUGUUUUUGCGGGUGCUGCGGGGAAGCCCUGCGCGCGUCGCCCCUCAAGGGGCCGCGUGCGGGUGGAACCGUGCCCCAUCCACAAACCCACCCCUGUGCACUUUUUUGUUUUGGGACUCACGGACCGGUUGGUGUGCGCAAGCGUACCGGCCGGGUCGCCCAAUUCCACAUUUACACACACUCUUAGAAUGGCUUUGGCUUUUUGAAGCAACUUUGUAACAACUUUCAACAACGGAUCUCUUGGCUCUCGCAUCGAUGAAGAACGCAGCGAAAUGCGAUAAGUAAUGUGAAUUGCAGAAUUCAGUGAAUCAUCGAAUCUUUGAACGCAUCUUGCGCCCCUUGGUAUUCCGAGGGGCAUGCCUGUUUGAGUGUCUUGAAACCAUCGUCCCGUGCGGUCGCUGCGAAGCGACCGUUCUUCGGGUCGGACUUUGGGGGUUCUCUGCCGCUGCGAGGCGGCUCCCCUUGAAUGCGUCGGCUUCUGUUGGACCUCUUCUUUGGUCUGUUGCUGCCUGGGCGUUGUAUCUUCCUCGCUCUGCAGUGCGGCACGUGUCGGAGAAGUUGGACCUAGCCCACGGCCUUGCCUCUGGAGUGGCGGCCACUACGCUUUGUUGCGAAUCUGACCUCAAAUCAGGUAGGACUACCCGCUGAACUUAAGCAUAUCAAUAAGCGGAGGAAAAGAAACUAACAAGGAUUCCCCUAGUAACUGCGAGUGAAGCGGGAAGAGCUCAAAUUUGAAAUCUGGCGGUUCUGCCGUCCGAGUUGUAUUCUGGAGAAGUGCUUUCCGUGCUGGACCGUGUACAAGUCCCUUGGAACAGGGCGUCAUAGAGGGUGAGAAUCCCGUCUCUGACACGGAACCCCCAGUGCCAUGUGAUGCGCUCUCGAAGAGUCGAGUUGUUUGGGAAUGCAGCUCAAAACGGGUGGUAAAUUCCAUCUAAAGCUAAAUAUUGGCGAGAGACCGAUAGCGAACAAGUACCGUGAGGGAAAGAUGAAAAGCACUUUGGAAAGAGAGUAAAACAGUACGUGAAAUUGUUGAAAGGGAAACGCUUGAAGUCAGUCGCGUCUUGUGGAACUCAGCCUUGCUUCUGCUUGGUGCAUUUUCCAGUUUGACGGGCCAGCAUCGGUUUCUGAGUCGGACAAACGUGGGGGGAAGGUGGCGGCUCCGGCCGCGUUAUAGCCCUCUGUCGCACAACGGCUCAAGGGACCGAGGCAGUCCAGCGCUUGCGCUUGGGAUGCUGGCGUAAUGGCUUUAAACGACCCGUCUUGAAACACGGACC